CCCCUGAGAUGAGUUGCUGUGCUAAUACUGAUACUGGGUAGGGAGUUUUAAAACUGCCUUGCAUGUUUUGAUGAAUUCUACUUCUUGUAAAUCUCUCUGAGGGGC
rnacentral:snoRNA from 1 species